ACACAAUUUCACUCCUCUGCAUUCACCAAAUGUCCAAUUACAUAUCCUCCCUGCCUGGACCUUCAAAACAAUAUAAAACUGAAUGAAGCCAAUGAAAGAAGUCACAGGAGGAUUUUUGCAGAGCUUCCAUCCAGUUCAGAAACAAAGCAAUUCAAUACAUGUCUUCAAGAUUUCUAAAGGCAAUGACUUAUUGUUGUUGUUUGUUUGUUUUGUCAGUAGAACCGUGGAGAAUUGCCAAGAUUGCUGACUAGAUGUGGCCAGGAGAAAUAUCUCCCACUGAGAGACUGGGACAUUGGAAAGACUAUAACACACCUCUGAGUAGAUCUUCUGAUGGAAGGCAUUAAGAGUGGAUGCAGAGAGGAUGCAGAUGCUGGGCUGAAGAGAGAGGAAGCUGGGAACCCUGCAUAGUGUGGCUGAGCCUCAGGACUUGUACCUGGCCUUCAGAGACUCCUGGGGGAAGGGUGAGUUUACAGGUGAGGAGUGGCCUGCUCUCACCAUGGACCCAUUUUGGUAGGUCCCUCAACCUCUAUGGGCAUCUGAGAUGGUAGGAAAAGCUGCUCAGAGAGGUCAUAUGGGCAGGACUCCAGCCUAUGCAGAGCCCAGAGUGGUGGGAGAACAGCUGCAGUGAAGCACAUCCAGGGACAUCCAUCCUCCAAGGCUCACUGUGCUUCUCCAGGAUACUUUAGCCUCAAUAUGACUGUUAGAGCUAGACAAAGCAGGGCAGUCCUGCUUGUGGGAUGCGGCCUGAUGCCUGAUCUGAUGCUCUGUUACCUGCUGGCCUCUCUUGGGGAGCCAGUCUGGUCGUGCUUGCUUGAAGUGCAGCCUUGGAUACCCAACAGGGGUGCUUCUAGGAACCCACAUCAUAGCUCCUUCAAUGGCAGACUUAGCUCCUUCAAUGGCAGACUGUGCCUGAUUAUCAGAGAACUCCAGCAGACCAGGCCCCACUUACAUGAACCAGCCCACGCACAGCUUCACCCCAUCACAGCCCUCCCGUAAUGCUUUACUGACAUGCAUUUGCUCAUGGCCAUCCUCCAUCGCUGUGCUUGUAUGAGUCCACCUUGUUGCUUCCCCCUGCCAUUAACAUGCAGGUUCACUCCUGUGCCAGCACUAAUGUGUGCACAGAUGCUGGCAACACUGUUCUCCCCCCAACCCCUGCCACCACCGCCACCAAUGCUGCCAGUGUGAAUGCAUACAUGGACACCAGCAACUCCAUCUCUGCUAGUGUACUGCCCUUGCUGUGCUGUCAUCACUGGCAUAAACAUGUGCAGGAACACCACCUCCCUGUUCCCACAGUUGCCCUGUGCAAGCCAACAUGUGUGCACCUUGCCACAUUGCUGUGGCUGCUGGUAUGCAUGAGCCAGCAUGGAUCCCACUGCCACUACUCCAGUGACAUGCUUUGACCAGCCCCCCUCCCCAUCAGAGUGUGGUGGCCAGUGGACAAGAACACCUCAGUCUCUCCAGUGCAGCAGCUUCCUAACCUUGAGGGGCCAGAGAACAAGGCUGGGGGCCCAGUACCAGCCUCCCAGAGUUAAAACAUGCAGCCCAGCAGUGUAGAGCUGAGCCUUGGCUUUCUAAAAUCUUCCAGAAAUGAAGCCAGUUGACUGAACCCAUCAUAUGCCACAAUCUAACUCCCAGGGCAUCAAAGAAGAUAAAAGCCAAAAUCCCUAUCCAAAGGACAGUAAUAUCAAAGAUGAGAAAGAACCAGUGCAAAAAACUCUGGCAAUUCAAAAAGCCAGAGUGUCUUUUUACCUCCAAACGAUCACUCCAUUUCCUCAGUGGUGGUUCUUAACUAGGCUGAAAAGACAGAAGUGACAGAUAUAGACUUCAGAAUAUGGAUAGGAAAGAUGAUCAAGAUUUGGGAGAAGAUUGAAACCCAAUCCUAGGAAACUAAGGAAUACAAUAAUGCAAUACAGGAGCUGAAAGAUGAAAUGGCCAUUUUAAGAAAGAACCAAACUGAUGUGAUAGAGUGACAGCGCUGAAAAACUCACUUUGAGAAUUUCACAAUACAAUUGCAAGUAUUAACAGCAGAGUAGACCAUGCUGACGAAGGACUCUCAGAUCUUGAAGACCAGUUCUCCAAAGUUAACUUGGUCAGAC
rnacentral:lncRNA from 1 species